AACGAACGCUGGCGGCAUGCCUAACACAUGCAAGUCGAACGAUUGCCUUCGGGUAAUAGUGGCGCACGGGUGCGUAACGCGUGGGAACCUGCCCUUAGGUUCGGAAUAACAGCUGGAAACGGCUGCUAAUACCGGAUGAUAUCGCGAGAUCAAAGAUUUAUCGCCUGAGGAUGAGCCCGCGUUGGAUUAGGUAGUUGGUGGGGUAAAGGCCUACCAAGCCGACGAUCCAUAGCUGGUCUGAGAGGAUGAUCAGCCACACUGGGACUGAGACACGGCCCAGACUCCUACGGGAGGCAGCAGUGGGGAAUAUUGGACAAUGGGCGCAAGCCUGAUCCAGCAAUGCCGCGUGAGUGAUGAAGGCCCUAGGGUUGUAAAGCUCUUUUACCCGGGAAGAUAAUGACUGUACCGGGAGAAUAAGCCCCGGCUAACUCCGUG
rnacentral:rRNA from 1 species